rnacentral:tRNA from 1 species
UGUAGAGUAGACUAAAGGUUAGUUACCAGACUCAUUAUCUGGGGAUGUGGGUUCGAGUCCUGCCUCUACCU